rnacentral:rRNA from 1 species
ACGGGUGAGUAACGCGUGGGAAUCUACCCAUCUCUACGGAAUAACGCAUGGAAACGUGUGCUAAUACCGUAUACGCCCUACGGGGGAAAGAUUUAUCGGGGAUGGAUGAGCCCGCGUUGGAUUAGCUAGUUGGUGGGGUAAAGGCCUACCAAGGCGACGAUCCAUAGCUGGUCUGAGAGGAUGAUCAGCCACAUUGGGACUGAGACACGGCCCAAACUCCUACGGGAGGCAGCAGUGGGGAAUAUUGGACAAUGGGCGCAAGCCUGAUCCAGCCAUGCCGCGUGAGUGAUGAAGGCCUUAGGGUUGUAAAGCUCUUUCACCGGAGAAGAUAAUGACGGUAUCCGGAGAAGAAGCCCCGGCUAACUUCGUGCCAGCAGCCGCGGUAUUACGAAGGGGGCUAGCGUUGUUCGGAAUUACUGGGCGUAAAGCGCACGUAGGCGGACUUUUAAGUCAGGGGUGAAAUCCCGGGGCUCAACCUCGGAACUGCCUUUGAUACUGGAAGUCUGGAGUAUGGAAGAGGUAAGUGGAAUUCCGAGU